rnacentral:tRNA from 1 species
UCACGGGUAGCUUAAGUAAAGUUGGACUUUGAAGAGGUCAAGAUAGGUAUUCUCCCGAGAA